ACUCCUACGGGAGGCAGCAGUGGGGAAUCUUGGACAAUGGGGGCAACCCUGAUCCAGCCAUGCCGCGUGAGUGAUGAAGGCCUUAGGGUCGUAAAGCUCUUUCGCCUGUGAUGAUAAUGACAGUAGCAGGUAAAGAAACCCCGGCUAACUCCGUGCCAGCAGCCGCGGUAAUACGGAGGGGUUAGCGUUGUUCGGAAUUACUGGGGCGUAAAGCGCGCGUAGGCGGAUUAGUCAGUUAGAGGUGAAAUCCCAGGGCUCAACCCUGGAACUGCCUUUAAUACUGCUAGUCUUGAGUUCGAGAGAGGUGAGUGGAAUUCCGAGUGUAGAGGUGAAAUUCGUAGAUAUUCGGAGGAACACCAGUGGCGAAGGCGGCUCACUGGCUCGAUACUGACGCUGAGGUGCGAAAGUGUGGGGAGCAAACAGGAUUAGAUACCCUGGUAGGAUAGCG
rnacentral:rRNA from 1 species